UCAGGCCCCGGCCGGCUACUCCAUUUCCAUAGGCGGGAUGGGCCGUAAAAAAGGAGGAAUAUUUCCGUUUGGCCGACGGUGCGGCAGUGUGGAGACCUGUCGCAAGGUGUGUGGUGUUUUGCUCUCCAUGCAUGAAAGGAUGUUCGCGGGGGCGGUAUCCUUACGGCUUGUGCUCAAUGGCA
rfam:Anaerotruncus sp. G3(2012) genomic scaffold acPFl-supercont1.4, whole genome shotgun sequence.